UACGUAGGGGGCAAGCGUUGUCCGGAUUUAUUGGGCGUAAAGAGCUCGUAGGUGGUUCGGUAAGUCGGGUGUUAAACCCCCAGGCUCAACCUGGGGACGCCACUCGAUACUGCUGUGACUAGAGUCCGGUAGGGGAGCGUGGAAUUCCUGGUGUAGCGGUGAAAUGCGCAGAUAUCAGGAGGAACACCAGCGGCGAAGGCGGCGCUCGUGGGCCGGAUACUGACAC
rnacentral:rRNA from 1 species